CGAGAGAGAUGAUGUCAAGUCUAUCCAAAAAGGCCCCGGUUGUCCUCAUGCCUUAAUAGUAGGGUGGCGUUUAUUUGAGAAAGAGCAUCGGAUGCCGAGGUGAUGAGCAUCUUCGCGAAGCAGGGGGCACGUCUCAAUCUACAUGUCGAAAAUGCUAAUAUUUCUUCUGACUCUCAGAACUUCGCCGCGAAAGUCAAGAGUUCACUAUUGAGCGAGCAUUUUUCGUCACUCGAUGCCGAAGAAACUUUACACAAGCUUGAAAAAUUACGACAGAGGAGUGGGUGAGCGCUUCAGGACCUUCAUGCAGAGGCAUGCCCAUCGAUGCCGCGAAAAACCUGGUCUCUACUCACGGCUGUGGAUCAUACAUCUCUUGCUACUUAGGAGGUACGGAAGGGAUGAUCUUUCAUGUUGAAGAAGUGCUUCAUCUGUAUUUGGCGAAGCCAAAGCUACAGGUCACUUCAGAGUCAUGUACGAACAACAAGCGGCGCAGGAAGGACCGAACAAGUUAUUAUAGAAAAGAUCGGAAAGAGACUCGGAUCUGUUUACAAGUGUGUCGAUAAUUUUUGCUUGCCACGUAUGUAGCAGAAAAGAGCGUAUCUUACCUGGAUUGUUUGACAGGUAACACAGUGACUCAAUUUAGCCUUGUCCAUUGUGCAAAGGUAUGCCAAACCGUUUUUUUUGGCUAGAGAAGCAUCUUUAUCGAACGCCUCUAAAUGUUAUUACUAUAUAGCCUGUUGCAAAUUUUCUUUGUUACCUAAAAUGCUAAUUUUUGAAGAUUAGGUAGAAGAAAAGG